rnacentral:lncRNA from 1 species
GAGUGAAGUGGUGGAGAGGGACGCUCGUGCCACCCCGGGUCCUCCUACCGUCUCUAUCAUGGUAACCCCUUCUCUGCCGCUGCACCUCCCAGUGGCCCGAGUCCAGGUGCCUUAGUUACUGGACAGAGACCCCGGGUUCCUUAGUUACUGGACAGAGAGUGCUGCGCUUCAGGUGCCAUGGCCUCAGUUUCCUCCUUUCUGAAGUGAUGAAAAUACAUUGUGCGCCUCCAAGUGCUUCACACGCACUAGGUCCUAGUCCUAACUAGGGCCUCAUGAUCAUUCAGUGGGUGUCCUGCAGUGACCUGGUUGUUGGGAGGGACAGCCUCCUCCCUCUCCAGCCCAUUCCCCUUCUUCGCUGGUCAAAUUGACAACGGCAAGAUCGAGAACAGCUCAUUGGCACACCAGAUGGAAGCCAACACUGAGGAUGGAGGAGAAACAAGACACAGGGAGCCAGCUAGACACUGGAUGGCUUCGUGAAAGAGGCUCCGUGCCAGCUGAGAUUUUAUUACAAAAUCACUCUUGGGAUGCUGCUUCCCAUCGAUGGAUUCUGUUUUCCACUCCUCUUGGCAUCUAAGUGUGGCCUUGUGAUUGGUUCUCACCAAUGGGAUGGGAUGGAAGCGAUACAGGCCUCUUCCGAGCCAAUGCUCUUAAGAAACAUGUAUGUUGGCCAGGCACGGUGGCUCACGCCUAUAAUCACAGCACUUUGGGAGGCCGAGACGGGAGGAUCAGCUGAGUCCAGGAGUUCGAGACCAGCCUGGCCAACAUGGCGAAACUCCAUCUCUACUAAAAGUACAAAAAUUAGCCAGGCGUGGUGGGCGCUUAUAAUCCCAGCUACUCCGGAGGCUGAGGCAGGAGAAUUGCUUGAACCUAGGAGGCAAAGGUUGCAGUGAGCCGAGAUCCCACCACUGCACUUCAGUAUGGGCAAAAGAGUGAGACUCCAUCUCAAAAAAAAAAAAGAAACAUCUGCCUGCUUCCUGCUCUUUCAAGGCCCUAAAGAAAGAGGGGAGCCCCAAGAAACCUGGGUCCCUGAAUGACCACCUUGUGGAAAUACAUCCUGUCACCUAACAUCUAUCCUAGAUUGCUACAUGAUCAAGAAAUACACAUCUAACUUGUACACCCAAUGCUCAUAGCAGCAUUAUUCACAAUAGCCAAGAGGUGGAAGCAACCCAGUGUCCAUUGACAGAUGAGCGAAUAAACAAAAUGUGGCACAUAAAUGCAAUGGAAUAGACCAGACGCGGUGGCUCACAUCUGUAAUCCCAGCACUUUGGGAGGCCAAGGCGGGCGAAUCACCUGAGGUCAAGAGUUUGAAACCAGCCUGGCCAACAUAGUGAAACCCUGUCUCUACUAAAAAUACAAAAAAUUAGCCAGGCGUGGUGGCGGGCGCCUGUAGUCCCAGCUACUUGGGAGGCUGAGGCAGGAGAAUCACUUGAACCCAGAGGCGCAGGCUGCAUUGAGCCAAGAUCAUGCC